UGCAUUUGCUGCGACUCUGCGAGGCGAAAUAUCAAAUUAGUCCCUGUUGUUUGCGAAUGUAACGAAUAAGUCCACAAAUUUACCAUUUGUUUUAGAUUCAGUUUAUGGCUAUCGGCAGCGUCUUGUGGAGUUAAAUGCCUCGGAAUCGGAAAUGUACUUCCCACACAUAAAUAAAACAUAUUAGAAUGGGAUAAAAAUGAAAAUUCUUAUUUGAUCAUUUCUUAUAUCAGUUUGCAUGAUGCUGUUAUAUGCCAUAUUACUUGAUCCCGAGGCUUUUAUUUAUAUUCACUGUGCUAAGAAACCAUGAGGUGAAAAAAGAUAUCGCUUCUAGUUUUAUUGCAGGUUUAUUUGCUUCCUGAAAGCCUCAGUAAAUACAGAGUACUUUAUAUACAUUAAUUGUGAUCUAAAUCAAGGUUUGCUGUAUAUUGUAUUCAUAAAAGCGCCAAAUCACAGGGUCGAUAGUUGAUACAUGGCUCAUCAUCGUAAGUUACAUUUCAUCCCUCGUCGCCUCUGUGUAAUAAAAGCUCAUACAGGCUGGCUUCCGCUACUCUGCUCAACACAUUUAUGUUCAAUCAGCAAAAACAAAAACAAGGAACCAAUAAGUAGCUGAAAUUUAAGAAUAACAAAAGGGAAUGUGACAUGCAGUUAUAGAAAUUCACUGGCAGAUCAGUAAGCUGUCAAAUACCUGUUGAUGUAGGAGAGUCCAAUGUAAAAAGAGGUUAAAAAAAAAAAAAAUUGAGAAACCACAAGGGAAGAUAAUCCUAGCUAUAGAGAACUAGGCCUCCCAAGCUGCUCUAAUGAUACUGAAGUAAAUAUGUAUACCUAGUACAGUGGCGUUUUUCUCUCAGUUCUUGUACUUCAUGGUUUCCUUUUCAAACCCAAUUGUGGGGAAUUGCUUUGCAUACUCCUCAACAUCAUGGCGAAGUUUCGCAAUCUCGGAUUGGAAGUUAGCGGACUGUGUUGUGGCCACGAAAUCUUUCAACUUUGUUCCUGGUUUACAAAAUUAACAGCACCCAACUGCAUGUUAGUAGAUUCAACCACCUGGCUCACUAAACAGCACAAGCAUUGCAGCAUGAGUGAAGAUCAAACACACACAAACCCUAAGAGAACGAAAGUUAAGAUAAAAAAUAUUGGCAAGAACCUUGAGUUUCAGACUUGAUCUUCACAGCCAACUUCACAGCAGCAUCAAAGAAAUAUGCUACCUUGGCAAAAUCCUCCUCAACAAAUCCCCUAGAAGUAAGAGCCGGAGUUCCUGAAAUGCAAUUCAAUCCAUCAAGAAACAAUGCUCACACAGUGAUCGUAUAAGUAUGAUGUAAAUAAGUAAUAAGAAUAUGUAAUAAGAGUCCCUACCCAUCCUGAUGCCACCUGGAACCAUGGCCGACACAUCCCCAGGAACAGUGUUUUUGUUGGCUGCAAUAUGAACAGCUUCCAACACUUUUUCAACUCUGGAACCAUCAAUUCCCUGUUGAUGGAACAUUUUGGCAAAAAGUAAGAUCAUCCAACUUUUCAUGGUAAAACUAGUAAUAAAAGCAGUACAUGGAGCCAAACUCUCCAAUUUAUUCUAGUAACAAAAUAAGAUGUCUUAAAUUAACACUCACAGUACAUUAGUAAUUGGACAUCAUCCAGAACUAACACAAUAAAAGGAUAAAAAAGAUAAAUCUGAUACCUUGUUUUUCAAAUUCACCAACACUAGAUGGUUCUCAGUUCCACCAGAAACAAGUUCAUAGCCCAUCUCGAGCAGAGUCUGUUAAAUAGACAUUUUGGGCAGUUAAAACCCAGAAAGAUAGCAAGUUGCGCCCUCACAUUGAUGAGAGAAUGUUGCUCAAAUAUGCAAUAAAGACAAAGCUUUGUUAACAAGAUCUUGUUUUGCCAACAAUUUUGCUAUAUGUCAUGAAGCAUACCUGUGCAAAUUUUGAGCAAUUGCUCAGAACUUGCUCUUGAUAGGCUUUAUACUCUGGAGUAGUGGCCUGCAUCCAUGCCAAGUUAAAAAUUAUAAACUGAAAGUUUAAAUGGUAUUGAAAAUUGGUCAUUUGGCCAAAAAGGUUAAGAAGAAUAAAGGAAAUGCAUGAUAAUUCAGGAGAUGCCCCUUAAUGCUGGUCAAUAAACAAGUAUCCACAUUGGACAAAUAUCAAAACUGCCAAGGAUCUGUUUAUUGUUCGUGCUUUAUAUGAGCCAGUAACUCACAUAAUAUUAUAUGUUGUUACCUAAUGUUUCUCGUACUUUAGAAGUAUCCCACUAUACAAAACUGAUCCUGUAUUAGUUAGUAUACAAAUACACCGAUCCAUAAUAAAGGAAACAAAGCACUUCUUGGGCUACUUGAAGACCAUUUUAGUGUCUGCAGUAUGACAGUUGUAGCUUGGAAGGUGGAAUGGUGGCCAAGGCACUCAAUUGAACAUGACAACCUAACUAACGCAUAUAGGGUAAUGGUACAGACUGUUCCUGCCAUUCAAUUAUCUGACACAUGGCCUUCCCUUUUCUUCCUCAAUGUAUUCAGAGUUGUUCUGGUUUGAGACAAAAGCAGGAUACACAUGCAGAGAAAAAACAUGAAUAUGACUAAAUGUUAUCAAUGUGCAUACCUGUUUCAAGGCAACUGCUAAACCAGUAAUUGUGUGGUUGUGUGGGCCACCUUGGAGUCCAGGAAAGACAGCUUGAUUUAUUUUUUCUUCAUAAUCAUAAAACACCUGCAGGUAAACUCGUAGGCAUAAAGAUUUGCUUCAAUUAAACCAACAUAGUGUCCCUUCAAGAAAGAAUUAUACUAUAUACUCAAAACUAUUAUUUCAUUUUAACAACUCACCUCCUUCCCUUGUUUGUUAAUCUCUUUCACUCCCUUCCUAAAGAAAAUCAUGGCUCCACGUGGCCCACGAAGUGAUUUGUGAGUUGUGGUGGUCACAACAUCUGCAUACUCAAAAGGUGAAGGGAUGACACCAGCAGCAACCAAACCACUAAUGUGUGCCAUAUCUGCCAACAUUAUAGCUUUUUGUUUGUUGCAAACCUGUUAAAACACUUUAGAAUAUGAAACCUCAGACCUUCUAAACCAUCAAGACAGGCCAAAACCUUAAAAUUUGAUGUAGGACUAUCAUAAUUGGAUUAGACUGGAUCAACCUAAUGGAGAUUACCUUGCGAAUACGCUCAUAAUCAUACAAUCGUGCAUAAGCACUAGCACCAGCAACAAUCAAUUUUGGCCUGAAGAGGGUGGCACUUUUCUCCAACUGCAAUACAAUGAUUUAAGUCACAACACAUUUUACUUACAGAUAUAUUGAAAGGUAUAUACAACCAAUCAAUACCAUCUGAAACUGAAAACUCAUUUCUAUGCAUGGCUUAUUGAAGUUCGUCAACCUUCCCCAUCUGUCCAGACUUGUAUAUAAUGACCCAAAAUAUCAAAUUUGGUGAUAGAAAAAACAUGAAUGGAUAACUCGGAUGCAUGCUUAUCUUGACAAUUUCCUGCUAACCAUGAAGGACUAAAAUCAAUUGUUAAUGAAAUUGAAGAUUUUAUAGCUGUACGUCCAUAUAUUUGAUGGAGAGCACAUGUUAAAUCUUCAGCUUUGUAUACGAAAAUCAGAUAUCUUGCAAUUCGCAUGUGAGAAAAAGAAACAGCCUCACUAAUAUAGAAUUACUGCCAUAAAUUUUCAAGAUUUUCCACUUAAAGCGUAUCAGUAAUUAGUCUGUUCUACACAGCCUGAAUUCCACCUUUUGAUGACGCAACUUUUUCCAUUCACUUCAACUGCCAUGGUAUGAAAUUGUGUAAUCAUAGGGAAUUUAGUGGACCUAAAAGGGUACCAAAAAUAUUAAAAUUUCAAUACCUGGUCAUAGUCUAUAUAGCCAGUGCUCUCAUUCAAUCUGUAUGGCAUUGUCUCAAAAAAUAUGGACACUGCAGAUAUCUUUUUGGUAUCUGUCUGCAAAAUAAAAAUAACAGUAUUAAUUAUUUGAUGUUACAUUCAGUCAUAUAACAUGACCAGAAAAUAGAACAUAGACUAAUAAAUUUCUCCGUAAUUGAUGAAAAGUUGCAGACUAAGUCCAUUUUAAUAUGAGAAAUGAUGAGAUCAGGUUCAUUGGUUAUAUAAUACUACAGCUCCUGUAGCUUUAAAAUCUCUAAGGAUAAAGAAUCUGUGGAUAGUGAAUGUUAGGUAUGAUAAAAAUGGGAUUUCAUAGAUCUUGAUAUUGGUCAUUUAUAGCUUAAAUCCUAUUAUAGGGCCUUUAACCUGAAAGGUCUAGGAGAGCAGGACAGGUCAACAUACCUAUUAGAUAAAAUAAAAUAAAAAAUCUCUAGAAAUUACGAGUACCUGAUAGCCGUGUGAGAGAUGCCCACCAUGAGGAAGAUCAAGUGCCAUGAUCCUAUCAUGAGGUUUUAACAAUGCAGUGUAGACUUGAAAAUUAGAUGGAGAUCCAGACAGAGACUGCACAUUCACUGCAGCAUAACAGGGCAUAAUGAACAUGAGAAAGCAUUAAGUCAUCACAUGUAACAUAACUCCUCCCACAAACUUUUCUUUUCAAUUAUGAAGUCGCUUAGCUGUCUCCUUGACACCAAAGAAUGCUCUUAAAAUUGCCUUUGAUAAUGAACAUUUUGGUUAGUACCAAUCCUUUAAAGAUUCAUAAUUGACUGAUAAGUUGCAUAUGGGCAUUAUAAACAUCAAUACCUAUAGAAUUUUCGUACUGACAUACUUUCAGAAAAUUACUGCAGCAUUAGAAAAACAACAAGUAUUUUUCCGAGAAUUUCAAAUGACAAGUUUGCACCUCCCCAUUUUUCAGGAUCCAACCGAAAUGCUUCCAGAGCUCGCUUCUGACAUAAGGAUUCCGCCAUGUCAAUAUACCUGAGAAAUGACAGGUCCAUUUUCAACAGCUAAUUUAGUCACGAAGUUAAAGAAGUAGAUAUGAAGGAAUCAACUUCAUAAUUUUCCAGUCACUUAUAUCAGCUUAUUAUAAACAUCACAGAUUGAACUAAUUAGCUCAACAUACUCGUUUCCUCCAUAAUAUCUUGCACCUGGAUAUCCUUCACUGUACUUGUUGGUCAUGACAGACCCCACAGCUUGCAUCACGGAUACUGAAGUAAAGUUCUCUGAAGGAAUGAGUUCAAGUCCCUUCAAAAUCACACAAAAUUUAUUCCAGUAAGCUAUCCAAAUUUUUAAUGUAGUUGGAGCUUAACAGCAAGACAGAAACUAUAAAGUAAAAAAUAAAUUGAAUAUAGAUAAACUAUUUCAGAUAAUUCAGAAUUAUUUUUUCUAAAAAAAAGAAAUCCAUCCCAAAAGAAACCUGAAAUUUUCAUAUAUUGGAGAAAUAGUAAUCCAGAUACAGGCAAAAUUUUAUUUCAGCCAAAAGCAAGAGGGGUGAAUUAAAAUGAACAAAAGGUACUGUUAAGACAAAGUUAAUGAAUAAAUGGAUGUUCAUUUGAAAUUUUCUUUAAGAAGGACAAAAGAAAAAAAUAAAUAAACUCACAAAUGAUAUAAGGUUACCUUCCAUUGUCGUGCUUUUUCAUGCUCGAUAAUGUCAGCAAUCUCAGGAUCAACGACCUCAAGUGGAGCAUUCAGUUGUUUUGGCCACUGCCAUAUCCACAUGAAAAAUUAACAAAUUAAAUUAAAAAAAAACCAGUACGGUACAGAAUGGAAACGUAUGAAGGAAGCUAGAGAAAAAUUUAUCAACUUACAGUGACACCAUUUUUCUCUUUCUCGUAAACAGCUUCAUUUGGCAAAGAUGACUGCGAAAAGAAAAGGAAUGCAAAAAGAAAAGAAAAUUACAAAAAGAGCAAACAGAACAGAAUGAACCAUUUGAAAGUCCAAAGAAAAUGGUAUAAAAAUGAAAGAGGCAAAACAGACAGACCAUGUAGUAGAGGGAGGAGCCAUUGAAGAGAGGACGAGUGGGUUUGUCGAGGGAAGAUGAGAGCCUGCGAAGAGCCAGAGCCAUGGCCAUUUUUGCUUCUCACUCUCCCGCUGCAAGAUGUUGUUCUGUUUCUUCUUUGUUUGUUGUAUGAUUAUGGUUAUGGCUAUGAGGGUGAGUUUUUUUCUUUUUUCCUUUUUUUUUUCGGUGGUUGGAGUAAAAUUUUCUGUUUGAAAAUUAUGGCUUUGUCGUUUCCGUUGUGAACUGGGUUGUCGUUCGUUCCAUGUCUCUGCCUCUAUUUUUUUCCCACUAAAAUUUGCCUUCAAACAGAAGUAAAUUCUUCUUCCUUUGCUCUCACUCACCUACAACGGACUCACCAAAUUUAUCAACUAUAAAUUAAGGAUUAUAUAAUUCUCAAUUGUUGUAAAUCACCAAUCUAUAACAAAAAUAAAGAGUAAUAAAAACAAAUCAUAUAAAUUUAGAGAUACUUAAUUCAAUCAAUCGAGUUAUAUCUGAAUAAAUUUAUAAUUUUAAUUUUAUCCAAAAAUAAAUGACCAGUCAAUAACGAGUAAAUUCUUUAUAAAUUUUGAGCUAAACAUCAAGUAAAGGCGAUAAAAUUGUUCUUUCGAUAUUCUAUAAUUUCUAGUUCAUAAAUUCCUUAAUUUUAGGUUCUCGAUUAUCGAAAAUGACAAAAAUAAAUACGUAAAUGUGUGUGGUUUGCGAUGAUUAAGAUUGGUUCUAAAUUUAUCAUCAUUGUGUGUACAUGAAUGGGUGUCCGAUGCAUCAAUUCUUUAUUUAUUAGGAAAAUGCUAGGCAAUAAAGAUUACAAUGUUGAUUGAAAAUACUGAAACUAAAAUUCGAAAAGCUAAGGUCGGAUUGAAAAAACUAAAUUGAUAAAAGGCCUAUAAAAACCAGCCGUGAAAUCCCUAUCCAAAUUCCACCGUUUCUUAGCCACAAAGUGAAUGUGGGAUAUCCUAUCUUGUUCUUGUGAGGCAAAUGUGACCACAUAAACUUUGAUUUGAACGGUUCUUCUACCACCAAACACAGAGUCUCAAACUCCUGCAUUGUGUCACUUUCUCAGACAUUUUAUUUUCACUCAAAGUCUGUCUUCUGGGCGUGAAUUUUAGAUCCAUGUCUUAUUAUUCACGAAAAGUCUCAACUGAUAUGGGCCUGGAAUUACACACACGGCCUGGAUAAAAUCACUCAUUUAUCUUCGUUGGGCUUCGAGAUUUGCCAACUUGCAAGGAGCACCUAACAUAUGGACCAAAUUCUUGUGUUUCAGGUUAAUUUUAAAAGCACUAGGGCAUAUUGUUUGUUUGUUAAGCAAAAUGUGGACUGAGGGUUUGUGCUAGGGUGAUGUUUAAUUAAUUCUACUAAUGUACUGAUUCCAUAUUUCCAUUUCGGAUUGAAAGAUACAACAAUUCGAUUCGAAACUGGCUUACACUCAUCAACCAAUAAUAUUGACAAGAAUCAAUUUUCCUUUUGUUGCCAAACAAGAAACUGGGCUUCGACCACUAUAUUUGUGGGUUACAAUUACCUGUUGGCCAUAAUCCUUUCAAUUAAACAAUCAUUAUUUUUAAUACGAAAUAUUACUCUGGGGAGCUAUUAUUUUAUUGGGUGGGUGGCUCUUAUCACCCUUUCAAUUUCUUAAAAAGAUAGUUUAAGUACUUUAUUUGACGUAUAUUUCUUUAUUUGACGUAUAGUUUAAAAUUCUAUGCCUUUUGACAACUCUCAAAUCCCUCUUAAAACACAUUUUUUUAAUUGAAAUUACUUAAAUAACCUAACACAUACUAAAUCAUUUCUUAUUUGGAAUGGAAAUUCAACUAAAAACUUAAAUAAAUUAUUCUUUACACAAACUUCUUAUACCCACCUCAUUUCAUAAUUUAUAAUUAUAUUUUAAAAUUUAACUGAAGAAUUUUCUUUCUUAGACAAUUAUAAGAGUUUAGAAUUAUAAAGAUAGAAAUUAUAUAAUAAGAAAAAAGUUUUAAGAUAAAUUUAAUAUUUUAGGAUUUGUGUGCAAAUUAAAAAGAAAACAUUUUUUGACUAAAAUUUUAUGGGAAGAGUAAUAAUAACAAUAAUAAUGUAAACUCAUUACUUGAAGGGAACAAGUUGAACAUAUUUCUGAGAUGACUUUAUAUGCCAUUCGCUCACUUUGAAAAUUUAAAGAAUAUAGAAAAUGUAGAUAAAAACGGAGAAAGCAGCAAUCCUGACAUCAGCUAAACAAAAAUAUUAGAUUUAAUCUCAAAUAAUAAUAUAAUAAAACCCAUAAAAAAUAUCAGAUUCAGGCAAGUCCAAAUGGCAAGGAUAUAUAUUCUUUCUUUUGUUAUUGCAUGUUUUCUGGUUGAUACAUAUCUUUCUAGUUGGUUGUUGAAUCGGAAAUGCCCAUUAUAUAAUCCCAUAUAAAAAUAUUUUAUAUAUUGGGAAAUUGUUGGUUUGAACUUUGCCCAACUUUGCCCACAUCCUAACCCUCUAUCUUUAUUUUAAUAGUAAUAACAACAAUAAUAAUGUAAACUCAUUACUUGAAGGGAACAAGUUGAACACAUUUCUGAGAUGACUUUAUAUGCCAUUCGCUCACUUUGAAAAUUUAAAGAAUAUAGAAAAUGUAGAUAAAAACGGAGAAAGCAGCAAUCCUGACAUCAGCUAAACAAAAAUAUUAGAUUUAAUCCCAAAUAAUGCUUGAAGUCCCAUCAUUUUUACUUAGUUUUCUAUUUAAAGUAUGGAAGAAAUAUGAAAAAAUUUAUGAUUGCGUCAUUAAAAUUACGGUAUUAAUAUUGUGAUUAAAAUAAAUUUUUUAAAUUCCAUAUAAGAAUAGUAAAUUAAAAUUAAAAUUAAUAAAUUAAUAUAAGAAUGGUAAAUUAGUGUUUUAAAAUUACAAAUAAAAUAAACUCUUGUAAAAAUGAAAUAAACUUAUAAAUCAAUAUUAAACUUUAAUUUUAAUAAAAUAGUUUAUUUAUUUAAUUUAUUUGAGCAAAGAAAAAAUUUACUCAUCAAUUGAAAAUAAAAUUUUUUUUAAUGAAAACAAUUAGAAUAAGUUCUAUUAAAUUGGUUUACCAUAAAUUCUAAUUCAUGUUAAGACAUUUAAAAUCUUAGCGUCUAAUCAUCAGGCCCUACUAAAGCCUGGCCAGACCCAGAGUCCCAGACUGAGUAUUUUAUUUUUGGUCACCCCAUUGGCACUUAUAUUUUCCAAAGCUACCAUCGAAAAUCAAAACAAAAUAAGACCUGCAUCGUAUAUAAUAUACAUAUCACGGGGAAUUGUUGAUCCUUAAAACAUAUAUCUAAUACGACGCUAGAUUUCUUUUUUCUAGUAAAAGGUAGGGCAAUAAUUGUACUGUUUCCAACAAUUUCGUCUUGACGAUGGAUUGACUAUUGUUUGUUCUGUUUUUGCUUGGAAUUGGUAAGCAUUUAGCUUACUGAAACGUAAGCUACUGUCCAAGCUUUGAUAAUGAAAGUUGCCAUGGUUUCCUUGAGAAAAGACUUCUAAACAACCUAUUUAUUUUUAUAUAAUUCCACAGCUAAUAUUACCUUUUGAUGCAGCUUCUCGGAGAUACAAUCGAUAAUUAUUAAUUGUCUUUCAAUUAGCUUUAUAGCUGCACUAUUACAAAGGUUAAUUAAGCUCCACGGACACGUUGUACCUCUGCUUCAUGUUGUUUCACCCUUUUGCCUUGGUCAAUUUACCUUUCUUCAUUUUCUUUAUUGUUCUUCUGCCCUCGCCCAGUUCACAAGUUUCCUUCCGUAUGCCUAGUUUUGACCCUGGUGAAAAAAAAGAAGAAAAAAUACUAUAUCAGGGAGAUGCAAUAUCUUCAGUUGGAGCCAUUGAAUUAACCAAAAACAACGAAUAUCUAUGUCGUGUGGGUUGGGCUACUUAUGCUGAGAGAGUGUCGCUCUGGGACUCUGACACAGGUAAGCUAACUGACUUCAGCACCAAAUUCUCCUUCCAAAUAGACACCCUGGGUGGGUCGUCCCACUUACGGCCACGGGCUCGUAUUUUUCUUAGCUCCUGUUGGAUUUCAGAUUCCUUCGAAUUCAGCUGGUGGCUUCUUAGGGCUGUUUAACACCACAGCUUCUUUCUCUUCUACAAAUCAUAUCGUCUCGGAGGAGUUUGAUUCCAACUCAAAACCCUGAGUGGGAUCCCCUUGAUGUUAAGGACCAUGUCGGAAUCAACAAUAACUCAAUUUCUUCAGCUGUCUCCACCCACUGGAACGUCAGCUUCCACAGACAAGAUACUGCUGAUGUGCAGAUUGCUUACAAUUCUACUACUAAGAAUUUGAGUGUGUCUUGGACCUAACGACUGACCCCUGAUCCUCGGGAGGAUACUAGUUUGUUUUACAUAAUUAAUCUGAUGAAAGUUCUAACACAGUGGGUGACAAUUGGCUUCUCAGCUGCUACAGGCCAGUUUGGAGAGCGACAUAUACUUGAAUAGUAGUUCAGCUCAAGCUUGGAUAUUAAAAGUACAAAUGGAACUGAUGGUAAAAAGAUCAGAAUAAUAGUUGCUUUUACAGUACCAAUUGGUGGUCCGAUAGCUGCAGCGAUAACGGGACUGUUGAUUUUGCAGAGGCAGAAGAAGGAAAGAAAUCUGCUGCAGAAAGAGAAACCUUAACUUCGAUAAAUGAGGACCUUGAAAGAGGAGCAGGACCAAGAAGAUUUUUUUAUAGAGAUCUUGCUUCUGCAACCAGCAACUUUCCCAAGAACAAAAUGUUGGGCUAAGGAGGGUUUGGUUCUGUUUACAAGGGUUAUCUUAUUGAUUUGGAUAUGGCUGUUGCUGUCAAGAAGGUUUCAAGAGGAUCUAAAUAAGAGAAAAAGGACUAUGUAACCAAGGUGAAGACAAUUAGCCAGUUGAGGCAUCGUAAUCCGGUGCAACUCCUAGGCUGCUGCCAUGACAGAGGCGAAUUCUUGCUUGUGUACGAGUUCAUGCCAAACGGUAGCCUUGAUGCUCGCCUGUUUGGCAAGAAGAGUCCUCUUGCUUGGGCUGUAAGGUACAUGAUUUCUCUCGGUUUGGCCACGGCUUUGCUCUAUCUUCAUGAAGAAUAGGAGCAAUGCAUUGUGCACAGGGAUACCAAAUCGAGCAAACUAAUGUUAAAUGUUGACGUCGAAAUUUGGACUAGUCAGUUACUAACUGGAUAAUAAAUCUUUGUGUUAUCAUUAAAUUUAUUUGUUGGGGAAGCAGUUUACGAUCACUAGCAGAUAACUCGCAAACACCUGAAAUCACAAAUACCAGUAAGAGGCACCAAAAAAUUUUCCGGUGUGAACCCUCCAACGCCCAAGUCAGUUAUCGGGUUUAUAGGAAAAACAAAAUAUGUAAUUUCUAGUUUUUAUGAAUAAAUAAUCUUAAGUAAAUGGAAUAGUAAAAUCAAAACAGAGAAAGAAAGUUCCACCUCUCCUGACAUGAUUUUCUUGGAGUUUUUAUAAACACCCCAUCCCCACGACCUUAGAUCAUGGCAAUUGAUUGACAUUAAAAAGUGUACAUUCAAUGAAGAUAAAAUUAUCAAUUUUUCACUUAUUGUGUAGAUUAAUGCGCUCAUUAUUCUUAAAUUAUUUUAAUACUCUCCAAAUAUAUUUAUGUUAAAUUAAUUUGUAACUUUGUAAUAUGUUAAUUUUAUUUUAAUUUUAUUGUAGAUAUAUUUCAAGAAUAAGGAGGAGUUGGAACUGGAAGCGAGAACAAAGAAAAAUUACUGGAGUAUUUUGAAAUGUAUUAUUGAGGAGAUGUAAUUAAUAAAAAAAAUAUUUCAAAAAAAAUAAAAAAAGAAUAAAAGGUAAGCAACCAUGCUUUGGUUGCUCGUGAUGGUCAAGUGGCCAUGUGAAUUGUUUCUUUUUCUUUUUUUGUUGUGUAAUCAACUUCCUUAUAAUAUAUUUUAAAAGUCGGUUAAAUAAAAAUAGUGUUUUAUUUUCUUUCAAUACGAGUGGAUAAUUUUACUAAGUUAAGGUGAAGGAUGAAACUCAAGGUUUCAAAUUAUUAAAUUAAUUGCUUUCUCAAGUGAGUUUUAAGUUUAUUUUAUUUUUUUAAUGAUUAUUUUUAUGUCAUGUUAAUUUAUAAAUUUUAUUGAAUCUGUAUUGUAUUUUAACAUAAUGGCAACAUAUUAAUAUAGUUGUGGCACAUUAAGUACUUGAUUUCAUAUUUAUCCACACACAUAGUUAAUUAAAAAUUAAAUGAUAUAAUAAUUAACUGGUAAAAGUGAGGCAAAAUAUAAAAAAAUGAGAGAGUAGUAAAAUUAUAGUUUGAAUACUGAGAGUGGAUCCCGUAACCUUAGCAUAUUUUUAAAUUAAUUCAUAGUGAUUUCUUUUCCCGCAAUUAAUUUUCUUUAUUUAACAAAUUGGCUACUAGAUUUUAAAUUUUAUGUGGUUCGACCCCAGACUCAUCGGGUUAUAUUAUAAUUAGAAACUCUUAUACUUGGGAGUAAUAACACUUUUGAGUCAUGUCAGCAAUAAAUAACCAUUAAUGAAUUAAAUUCGUGCUAUGAUUUUUUGGAGGAGAUUUGUAGCAAUUAUUUUGACUGAGUCUUGCUUCCUAGUGACUUGGUCUAAUGUCUCUUCCUAUCCACUCGAGGUCACUAGAAUUACAUCAUGGUCGAGGUGGCUUACUCGAGGUCACCAGAAUUACCUCCUGGUCGAGGUGGUAUGCUCAUGGUCUCAAGAAUUACCACCUAGUUGAGGUGGCCUAUUCGAGGUUAUCAAAAUUACCAUAUGGUUGAGGUGGCCUGCUCGAGGUCACCACAAUUUUCUCCUAAUAGUCUAUCAACUAUUUACUUACUCUUUACCUCGAGGAGAUCAUGAUCACCCUAUUUUAUUCCCCAAACAUUAGAUUUUAAUUUUAAUGCCAAAUUAGGCGACUUUGGAUUAGCCAGGCUGAUGGACCAUGAGCUUGGUCCUAAGACUAUUAUGCUGGUAGGAACUUUAGCCUACAUGGCCUCUGAAUACAUUAGCACAGGCAGGGUUAGUAAAGAGUUAGAUGUGUUCAGCUUUAGAGUAGUUGCCUUAGAAAUUGCUACUGGAAGAAAAGUGAUUAAUCGUUACAAAGCACAGAAACUUCGAACUCAGUUUGUGGUUCCUCAUCCCUGCUCCAAUACUGGAUCAGUUGAGAAACUGGGAGUCGAAGGCGAGAAGGCUGUGCUUGGGGGAAGCAGUAAGAACUACUGUCCAAAACUGGUGGCUUGGGUCUGGGAUUUUUAUGGAGAAAGAAAGCUACUUUCAGCUGCUAAUGAGAGACUGGAUUCGAGAUUUGAUGAGCAACAAAUGACAUGUUUGUUGAUUGUUGGAUUAUGGUGUGCUCACCCUGACCGUUGUUUCAGGCCUUCCAUAAGGCAUGCUAUUCAAGUCCUUAAUUUUGAAACAACAAUGCCAAAUCUUCCAUCAAAAAUGCAUGUUCCAAGUUAUCAUGUGCCUACACCAUCUGUCAGCUAUGGCGAACCUUUCAUUACAAAUUCAAGCUUUGAAGUUGGUCGUUGAGCUUGAGCCUGUUCAUUUCUUGUAUGUUUUCUUUUAUGUUGUAAUGAAUGAAAAUAAAUAUGUUGAAUAAACCUCUGGGAUUUAUAGGAAGUUACAAAUUUAUAACAUUGAUAGUUGUUUGAAUUUGUAUGCACUAUAUGUAUGUGGAAAGUAUUUCAUAUUUGAUAUUUAUGAAAGGAAUAACUGAGCAAUUUUAGUAUAUUUGUACAAUAUGGACAAUUCUUCUUAUGGCAUUCUUAGAAGUAAAAUAUUUUGUGAACAAAUUAUGUUGUGUUGUUCUUCGAACAGCACCUGAACAGGUGACUGGUGUGGGGCAAAUUGCCAAUUCAUAGAUUUUUAAUUUUUUUCAGCUAACAUCUAAAGCCAGAGCAAAGGGAAGAUACACGUUAGGAUUAAGGAUUGUUGUUCCUUAAAUAAGAAGCUCAAGAUCUUUUAUCAAUAAUUGUGUUCCUAUCACCGUUCAUUCUUAUAUUUAGCUUGGAAAUUAGAAUUGGUAAGAAUUUAUGGUGUUUUUACUAAUUAAUAAUCGGAAUGGACUGAAAUGAAAAUAAGAAUAAAUUAUUUAAUUUAGAUCUGGAAAUCGGAAUCAGAAUAAACUGUAUUGCCAUUAAUGUGUUUACUUUAUCUUGGAAUCAUAAUGGAUUGUUACAAGUUAUUAAAUUGACCUUAGUUGAUUAUUGUCAUUAUUUAUAACAACAACAACAACAACAAUUAUUGUUAAUAAUAAUUAUAAUAUUUCUUAUUAUUUAUAAUCAUUGUAUUCCUAGUAGUAGACUAGUAGGAGUAGUAAUAAAUAUUAAUUAUAAUGAUUAAUAAUUAUAAUUAAUAUUAAUAAUUUUUUUUUAUUCUUAUGAUGAUGAUGAUAUAAUGAAGGAUAAAAUGAAAAUUUCAAGAUUUAAAUGGGGUAAUAUAGUCAGUUUAAGAAAUAUGAUUCUCAUUCCUACCUCUAUCUAUAAGAAUGAAAACUCUAGUAAUCAUUUUUAAUUUUAGGUGGGGUCAGCCAAUUUGUUUCUCAUUCCAUAUAUCAUUUAAGUAAGUAAAUAUAUCAUUUAUUCUCAUUUCUUAAUUUCCACUCUCAUUCUCAAUUAGUAGUAAACACACCAUUAAUUUAAUGAAACUUAAGUUGAUGUCCAAUAAGCUUAGGUAACCUUUGAUUAUGAAAGGUUAGUAAUUAUAUCACUAUAUUUUUUAGGAUCAUUUUAAUGAUUGAGGUGAAGUUGACCCUAUCGUGCCGGCGAUAUUUCUGUCAUCUCAAUCUUUCUAUACCAUUUUAUCUUUCGAUACGUUGGUCGUUAAGCUAGUUUUUCGAAUGCUAAUUAUUUUUACACAGUCUUGUGUUUUCAAUUGAACAUAUGUUAGUAUGCAUGAUUAAAUGGUGUUGAUUGAAUACAUUAACGAUAAUGCUAUUUUUGCUAAAUUCAAAUAUCUAAUUGAGAUACACACUGAUCUGUUACCAAUAAUUUAAUAUUAUGUGUUUAAUAUUAACUGAUUUUAUUAAUAAUUAUUAACUUAUUAUUUUUACAAUACAUAUAAUUAUGACACAUAAAAUAUCACAUCAUUAAAUAACUCAAUUGAGUCAUGAAAAUUUUCAUUACCAAUUUAUUGUCGCGGGAAGCCGAGAGCAUGCUCAAAAAAAUUCAACCGCAUUUGCGGCGACUCUGUGAGGUGAAAUAUCAAAUCAGUCCCUGUUGUUUGCGAAUGUAACGAAUAAGUCCACAAAUUUACCAUUUGUUUUAGAUUCAGUUCAUGGUAUCGGCAGCGGAUUGUGGAGUUAAAUGCCUCGGAAUCGGAAAUGUACGUCCCACACAUAAAUAAAACAUAUUAGAAUGGUAUAAAAAUGAAAAUUCUUAUUUGAUCAUUUCUUAUAUCAGUUUGCAUAAUUUUGUUAUAUGCCAUGUUACUUGAUUCCGUUUUGGAUUAAGAUUUAAUGCUGAGUUUUUUUUUUUUUUUUUAGCACUGAAUCAAUAAUUAAGAUUUAUUUAAAUUUUUAUUUUUUUAUUUCUCUUAACUAACAAUUAUUGAUUCAGUAUUCAAUAAAAACUCAACUCAAUACUGAAUUCUUUUAUUUAUAUUCACUGUGCUAAGAAACCAUAAGGAGAAAGAAGAAAUCCCAUCUAGUUUUAUUGCAGGUUUAUUUGCUUCCUGAAAGCCUCAGUAAAUACAAAGUAUUUAUAUACAUUAAUUGUGAUCUAAAUCGAGGUUUGCUGUAUAUUGUAUUCAUAAAAGCGCCAAAUCAAAGGGUCGAUAGUUGAUACAUGGCUCAUCAUCACAAGUUACAUUUCAUCCCUCGUCGUCUUUGUGUAGUAAAAGCUCAUACAGGCUGGCUUCUGCUGCUCUGCUCAACACAUAUAUGUUCAAUCAGCAAAAACAGAAACAGAGAACCAAUAAGUAGCUGAAAUUUAAGAAUAACAAAAGGGAAUGUGACAUGCAGUCAUAGAAAUUCACUGGCAGAUCAGUAAGCUGUCAAAUACCUGUUGAUGUAGGAGAGUCCAAUGUAAAAAGAGGUUAAAAAAAAAUUGAGAAACCGCAAGGGAUGAUAAUC
rnacentral:lncRNA from 1 species